GCAUUAAUGGGGUAAAGGUAACCCAGGUCUUCAAAGUUCCAAGCACGAGGGGCAAAUUUAGAGACCAGCCGAGGGUUCGAAUCCCUCUCAAGGCA